rnacentral:rRNA from 1 species
UACGUAGGUGGCAAGCGUUGUCCGGAAUUAUUGGGCGUAAAGCGCGCGCAGGCGGUCCUUUAAGUCUGAUGUGAAAGCCCACGGCUCAACCGUGGAGGGUCAUUGGAAACUGGGGACUUGAGUACAGAAGAGAAGAGUGGAAUUCCACGUGUAGCGGUGAAAUGCGUAGAGAUGUGGAGGAACACCAGUGGCGAAGGCGACUCGUUGGUCUGUAACUGACGCUGAGGCGCGAAAGCGUGGGGAGCAAACAGG